rnacentral:lncRNA from 1 species
UGAUUCAGUAGGGGCUAUAAUUUAAAAGAUAGGUUUAAUAUUUUAAGUCUGAUAGUUACUAUGGGGUAGAAUGAUACACUACUAACAUUAGAGCAAGAAAAAGAAUAGUAUUUAACCCUGUUUCUGUUCCUGAAAAUACUUUUUGUGUGUGUGUGUGUGUGUGUUAAAGAACCAAAAACAUCUUUACAGAUGCUAGCAGUGUUGAUACAGUAGCAUUUCCUGAUGUCUUUGUGGGGGGGACCUUCCCCAUAAGGCCCCAGGAAUUAUGCAGUAUGGGUGUCUGGGUAGACCAAACAGAUGCAGUGAACCUGCAGUUACACACCUGGCAAAGUCAAUGUUAUUUUUCCGAGAGCCUGGUUGCACUAAGAUGACAGAGGGCGUUGCAUUAGUUCAUCAGUAUUCAGUAGGUUCAUGAGCGUUUUUGGCCUUGCUGUUUGCAUAUCAGUCCCCACGGUGAUCCUUUGCCAUGCUGGAGGGUUGGCCAAGCUCUAGGAGAGUGUUGGCUCUACAGAGAGUACAGCUGCAUCUUGGAAGACCGAAAAAAUCAGGAUGAAGUUAUGCACUUGGUCCACAACUCUACCAGGGACCUGAAGGCGUUCCAGAUAAGAUGAACUUGCUCCUAGAUGGAGGAGGUCUGGUGGAUGGCUUUGCCAUUUCCAGGCCUGGGGCAGCUCAGAGUGCACAUCCUGGAUAUGAGAGUAGGCUCUGGUGUGAUACUGCCAUUGAUUAUUCUGCAGCCUUUUGUACCUGGAAGUUCUUUCUGGGUUCUGUGGGGACCGCAUCUGUAUUAAAACCUGUGAGAUUAGGCCUGAAUUAGGGAGGGAACAACAUCUGAUUAUUUUCAUGCUAAAAAAAUAAUAUGAGUUCAGAUAAGUAUUAAGAAACCUGUUGAGUGAUUCGUAUUUUCUGACGACCUUCGCUUAAAAUUAACUCUAGUUAAUGUUCUGCAGUGGUUCAUGUCAAAAUCUGAAGGAACUGCUUGCAGAUGGGGAUAUUUACCUGCUUCUAUGUUUAGGGUAUGUAAAUGUACAAGUGGAAAUAUUGAUGAGCAGUAGACUAGAUCAUGUGAGAAAUGGGGAUCCCACUGUACUUAGUUUUUGUGUGUUAGGCUGAUACACUUAUUGUAUGAUAUUGUAUAUUUACACUUUUAUUUAUAUAAAUAAAACUUCUUAAUGAAAACUGUUUAAUAUGCCUUGUAUAUUAUAAAAAAGUG